CAGAGCCCCCUCAGGGGCGGGCGGGGGCUGCGCCGGGAGCCGCGGUGGCGACCGAGGGCACGGGGACGGCCUCCGGUGGCAGCGGCACCCGCGGGGGCACCCCCGACCGGGACGCUCGGGGGUGCACGCCCAGUGGCACACGAACGGGCCCCUGCAGCGCGCAGAUGCCCCCGGCACAGAGCGGGCGGAAAGGUCCCGGCGUCCAGGCCGGACGUGGGCGAAAGGCACAGGGGGUCCAGGCCGCCUGGGUUCCCCCACCGCAGCACCCCGGCGGUGGUGCCCGUCAGGUCCCUUGGGAAAAGCUGCCCGGUUUCAGGUGCUGAACCCAAAUUCUGCCGGGCAGGAGGGUGGGAAGCGCCAAAGGCAGAGGAGCAGCCGUCCGACUGCUUUGUGUUCCUCGGGAUGCUCGGUGGGAUUUGGCCCUUCUGCAGGUGGAUCCAGAUGUCACACCUGGGUUUGCUGACCUGCUGUCGACCUGUUUGCUCGGCACUCGGGAGCCAUCCCAGCCCUACCGACUCCCGUGCUGAUCCCAAGUAGGAAUAAGAGAUUGAUGCUGUGUUUGGAAUUGGCCGAACCGCCUCCCAAGCCAGCAAUAGCUAGGUCCUGGCUUUGUAGAUAAAGGAAUGUGAGAACAUAACGAGCACAUCAGCCUUGUACCGAGUUCAGAUUAAGCACAGCAAAACCACCAGCACAGCCGCCAUUUAGUCAGAAAGAAAGAAACAUUUGGGGUCAAAGUGACAUUAUCUCACAUGGCACAAGAAGCUGGGCACCUGCUAAACACACCCAGAUAUGGUCUGCAAGGAAACGAAGUGGAGAUACAUAUUGCAGCGAGUCACUGGAGAGCCAACGCAGCCUUCUGGGAAGGACAAGCCCAGCCUGCUGUCCCCACUCUCUCAGGUAUCCCCAGCUCUCCCAUUCCAGGAAGGAUCUGGAGCAAGAGAGCAGCUGUCUGUCUGGAGACCCUGGAGCAUCCUUGUGAUGUGUCUGCUUGAAGCUGUGCUUGGCCCUGGAUUCUCCAGCUGCAGAGGGAGGUGCAGAAGAGCUUUGGAAACCUUCUUACAGCAAUGGAAAACAGGAAUGUGCAUGCUGAGUUUUACCUCUGCUUGGGAAGACAUGUCCUGCAUGACUGAACUCAAGGCUGUUGCUGGUUCAGGAACAAAGCAGAGCAGAGACAAGGCUUUGCCACUUUCUCCCCUUCCCCCUUGCAUUCACCUCAUCUACAAAACCAGCUCUGCCUGA
rnacentral:lncRNA from 1 species